AGCGAAAUUCCUUGUCGGGUAAGUUCCGACGCGCAUGAAUGGCGUAAUCAUUGGAGCACUGUCUCAACAACCGACUCGGUGAAAUAGAAGAAGCGGUGAAGAUACCGCGUACCCGCAGCAAGACGGAAAGACCCCGUGAACCUUUACUGUACGCUGAUAUUGGCCAGAAAUUUGUUCUGCGUAGGAUAGGUGGGAGGCUUUGAACCCGAGAUUCCGGUCUCGGUGGAGCCAUCCUUGAAAUACCACCCUGAUCACAUUUCUGACCUAACCACGACCCAUGAAUCUGGGCGAGGGACCCUGUCAGCCGGGCAGUUUGACUGGGGCGGUCUCCUCCUAAAGAGUAACG
rnacentral:rRNA from 1 species